rnacentral:lncRNA from 1 species
AUACAAAAGCUGCAGUGAGAGGUGUGCACAUUGAAGGAUAGUAUUUCAAAUGAGAUGCAGUCUCCCUCAGGUUGGUUCUUGCACACACGCAGCACAGCCUGUCCCAGCAGCCACCUUGAACCUCUCCAGGACAGGCUAUGUGAAUGCACACCAACUCCAUGUCCUCCUGCUCUAGAGAACCAAAUGCUCCCUCCAAGAGCCUGCCCAUCAUCACCUCAUCCGACUGACAUCCUGCCUUCCCAGGCUGACAUCUGAGCUCUGAGAGUGUUCUAGGGACUAACUUGUCCUUUUGCUCUCUCCCAGCAAGGGCUUUACUCUGUUCUUCCCUGUCUCUGGCUUCAGGGAGCCCUGUUUUCAAGGUAAGAGGCAAAUUUCUGCUGCUCUAUCAUCCACAUCUCAGGGUUUACUGUCUCUCUCUUUCUCAGUCACUCUGCUGCCUUUUCAUCACCUUCAGGAUUAUGGAUUCAAACAAAGACCACCAACCUCAGAGCCUCCUUUCUCUCUGUCCUGAUGGAAGAGGAAUAAAAAAUGAGUCAAAGACCUGGAGUAAUGACUGCAGUCACUACUUUUUAGUGACCCUGACUACAGGGUCACUCUCUUGCUGCAUAACAGCAGGAAGAAAGGCAAGCAGCAAGUCCAGACCUUAUUACUCAGUCACUCAACUCCAGCUCUUCUGACCCUGGAAGCCUCUUGUUUCAGGUUCUCCUAGGGCCUCAAUUCUCACUGGCUUCCUCAGUUUCCUCCUCAGCUCUUUAUCUGUGUUCCUCUCCAUACACACCAGGUUGAACUUCAUGGCUCCUCUCUACACAUGCGCUGGGCAUACUCUUCAGCUCCCCAGCUGGGCUCAUACAGCUUUGUGUGCAAUGAGAGGCACCAUGUGCAUUCAUACCCUUUGUCCCCAGACCCCACUACUAGGAAUCACGGCUCACUCUGCACAUGAGAUCUUGGCCUUGUCUUAAUCCUCAAGUUCUCUCACACCAGACAUUAAACAUACCAUCAAUUGUGCCAUUCCUCUUUGUCUCCACGGCUACCACCCUGGAUCAAGCCUCCAACCCCACUCCCAGGAGAUGGGCUGAUGAAUGAUCCCAGGCACCAAACCGUAUGUUGACAGCAAGGUGGGUCUUUAAGCCUUUCCUUAAAGGUCUGAGUGUUCCCAACAGUCCUUGCCUUUGACCGUCUCUACCAGACACACUGUGUUAGUCUCUAAGGCAGCGUGGUGAAGCACGUGUGGCUGAGGGAGAGGCACAGGCAGAGUUUUCCAACACCCAGCUUCUCACACUGGGGGUCACAGCCUCCAUCUGAGGUCAGGCAACUGCAUCUACUUUAGCAACAGUAGAAGGUUCUGAACAGCACAAAUUCCUUCCAAGUCAAAUGUGUCCUGAAUCUGAGGCGUUUCUACCAGCGCUCACUCAUGCUUCACCAACAGCAUUACCACAGCCUUGGCUCUAAACGAAAACACCAAGGAAAGGUGCCUGAAACACAUUAGCUCACAAUCACGGUUGCGGUUCAUGUACUCCACAGGCAAAGCCUUCUGUUGCUCCAGAGGCAUGAUGGUGUAAUUAUGGGGUGAGGGGUCUUUUAGCACUUUCCUCCUGCCAUUCCUCAGCAUGCAUGGAUUAAAGUGUGGUACCGUGUUUGAUUUUUUUUUUUUAAUUGAUAUUUGAGUUGCUGAUUUGAGUUUUGUGAGGAAAAAAAUAUUCAAUGAAUUCUGGCUUAGGAUUAGGGCAGAAGUUCCAACAAUUUCUGAACUGAGCCCAAACAUACUUGCACUAUGUAAUUAUACAAAGUGGAGCUUAAAAUGAGGCAGGAAAAUAGAAACAGAGAGGCUAGGAAGAUGGACCAGUGAUCAGGAGCAAAUAGUGUUCUUGAAGCAGAGCAGAGUCAAAGGCCCAGCAGCAUAUCAGGUGGCUCAUAACUGCCUGUAACUCCAGCUCCGGGGAUCUGACAUCUGGCCUCUGACCACAUGCAUAUGUACACACACAUGUAAAAAUAAAGACCUUCUGCAAAAGGACAACAAAAGGAGGGGCAAGUUCCAGGGAUUGGCAUGUGAAAGGCAGAGCCUCACGCCCCACUUCACUCACUACGACAGCAAACUCCAAAAGUUACACAGUCCUGGGAGGGAGAGGUGGCAACUCUGUGCAUGAAAGAACUCCUUUUGCACCUUCCCUCCCUUCUGAAGCCAGACCACAGGAGAGACACGGAAUAUGCCCAGGCCUUUUGCAACUCUUAAUCAAGUCUUCCUUUCCUCGAACUCCACGUGUAUCUGUGCAGACUCCCUGUAUGGAGGGAAACACAGGAGCCUGAGCCCUCCAGCACCUGCCUUCCAGACUCACAUCCUUGCUUGUGACUGCUUGCUCAGCACAAAGUCAGAGGACCAUCAUCUCUGAAGAACUGAAGAUGCUCCACAGCCUACAGUGUUAAAUAUUCAGCUGGCUACAAUGCAACUGUAGUUGGGGGUAACCUUGUAGAUCUGAGUGCUGGUAUGGCCAAGCCCAGCGGUCUGGUGACUGGAAACUACCUAAGAAAGAAAGGGAAACACUGCUGGCAGAGGCCCUGGUACAAUGGCAGGACUACUGCAGCCUCCUAGAAGCCAGAAAGAAAAGGUGGCACUCUGUACACUGGCCUCUACCACCUUCCUCUUUCUGCUAAGGAAUUUUUUUCUUUUUUGAGGCAGGGUCUUUCCAUAUAUCCCAGGCUGACUUGACAUUUGAUACACAGACCCAGGCUAGCUUUCACUCACAAAAAUCUGUCUGCCUGACUUUCUAUUAAGUACUUUAAUUGCAAUGUGGAUAAAGUUUUGGCUUGUGAUAAAUAAGAUGCAGCCAAGAUGAAUUCAUUGUAAAAAUAAACACACUCAUUAAUAUGUAAAUUGAAUCUUUAAUAAAUGGAAAAACAGUAUGUAUACCAAAAAAACUGUGUAUAAUAAAGUUUUAAUUUAAUACCU